UGAUCAGGUCUGUGGCCCGGGCAGCUGUCAUCCUGGAUACUACCCUGGCUUUGCUGGUGUGGAGAGGAGCUGGAAUAUACAGGACACAGGCUGGAAUUUACCACUACGAAGCUUGAACUUCAGGCCUGUGCCAUCACACCUGACCCUGUCAUUCAUUUUUGUUAAGUGCAGGGUGCUGCAGCCUGUGACCACACUGGAAUCUGGAGUCCCUAGGCAGUAACUGGGAUGAAGCCAUCUGACUCUUUUGAACCAAGCUGGCACCACAGAUCCCAGUGAAUACAUGGUGGUGAUAUGCAUUUGUGGAGAAGCCACCAUAUUUCCUUGGAUGUCUGGGCGACCACUGAUCAGAAAUCGGACUUCUUGCCAACUGGAGAGAGGGCAGGCAUGCAUGCAGAUCCACACAGCACGUGUGGUAAGCCUCACAGUGAGACACACAGGACGCCCUCUGCUGGAAGUACUGCUGGAUGUAAUUUCCUCUCA
rnacentral:lncRNA from 1 species